GUUAAAACCGGGCUCUGCUGGGUCUCUACAAGAUCAUGAUUCCGUCUGUUAACAGAAAAAACAGAGUCUUGAUGAAGAGAUGAACAUCCUGGAGUCCAACGUGACUUCUUUAAAUGUUCACUUUUUCCAAUUCCUGGUUUCUGAGCCAGCAUUCCUGCAUGCAAUGCGGUCAAAUGUGACUGAUUUGUUGUAUUGUGUGUGUGUGUGUGUGUGUGUGUGUGUGUGUGUGUGUGUUUCCCACUGUUACCAUUUCACUGUGAGACCGGAGUAGUUAAAAGAGGAGGACGCAUCUGCAGGUGCCAGCUCUCAGUCUGUGAAGAGUAAAGGGAUGGAUGGCAAGAAGAACACAGCUGAGGAGCAAAAACACUCUGAGUAUUGGAACCAUGUCCUCCAUUCAUUGAGCGUGUGAACAUAACUGUCUGAGUGUAAAGGAGCGCGUCCUGCUUUGUUCAACUUUUAUAAUUAUUAUGGCGCUUCUCUUUCGCUCCUCAUCAGCUGGUGUCGAAGACGAUGUGACACCAAACCCAAAGCAUGAUGAAUUUUGCCCAUGGUUUGGACCAAAUUACCAUCCCACAUUUGAAGUUUUCCUCAACACGAGCAUAGAGGCCGCCACUUUGAGACUGGAGGACCAGAAAGGGAAAGUAGUCUGGGAACAAGAACUGUAUCUGAAAGGUAAUGACUCCCCCCAGAAGUGUUUGUUGGUUAUAUAACAAAAGUAUGUUCCCUCUCUAUCUCCCAGAACCAAGGUUGAUGACUCAGAGCUCAGCCACGCGAUGUCUCCAGCUCUCCUGGACCAGGUUGUGGAUAAGCUCCUGGAGGGCGAGGUGAUAAAGGAGGAGGAAAUUGCGUCAGCCAGAUCCAAACCCCACUUAGAAAAAGCCAGAGUGGUGCUGGACGUGGUGCAGUGCAAGGGAGGGAGAGCCUGCACGCUGCUGCUCACUGCUCUGCGUGACGCCGACCGGGUGAUGUACAAAAAGCUCAUCUUAGACUCAUAACCUCCAGCCCUGACCCCUGACCCUCUGGAGGUCAUUCAGAGCGCAGCAGCCCCACUAUUCUACAACCUCCCUCAGUGUGUUCUCCCACUCAACGCUGCCCUCCACUCCCUGCAUUGGCUACCAGUAGCUGUCCAAAUCACCCCCCCCUCCCCUGCCUGAAACACCUCCAUUGGACUCCUUUGUUUACUUCUGGAACAUGGUGACAUCACUAUGUAAAACUCAAAACUAGCGCUCUAACACAUUUUACGUGAUAGGCUAAGGGGCGGGACAUCUCUCUAAGAGGUUGACCUAUCACAACAGAGCUAACCAAUCAGAGCAGACUGGGCUCUGGUUUCCGACAGAGGGUGAAAAGAGGCAGCACAGGCAGUAUGAGAAACAUAAAGAGCUGUUUGAACAUUGAAGUAGAGGCAUAAAAUACACAUAUGAACCUGAAAAUGAGCAGGAUACGUCCUCUUUAAACCUUAAACUCCAGCGGGGUUACUCUGCUCUCCAUCGGCCAAUCGAAUCGCUGCUCCCUCAGUGCAGAUGGGAUCCAGGUACUCCUCAACAAGAACACACCUAUAUGCUUUCCUGGCUCCAAAAUGCUGCACAUCUGAUGUCACAGAAUCAACAGCAACCCGUCUGAAAUACGUAGCACUUAGUUGGGUUUAUGGAUAGUUUAGGUUCUUGCCGGAUACUUGCUUUUUUGUCUAUCUUCAUGGUUGAAUGAACUCAUUGUAAGUCGCUCUGGACAAAAGCGUCAGCCAAAUGCAAUGCAAUGUAUAAGAUGCAAAAAAGAUACAAAUAGUAUAUUUUUUCUUCUCGGCACCGAUAUAUCUGUAGAUUAGGAUACAGAAGGAGGCUGUUUGACCGGCUGCAAGUGAACACUAUAGCUGUAGAAUCAACUCUUAUCUGCUGCAUUCAAGGCAAACUUUGCCACAUUAAAAUGUUUUUGUAA